rnacentral:rRNA from 1 species
AUUGAACGCUGGCGGCAGGCCUAACACAUGCAAGUCGAACGAGUGGCGGACGGGUGAGUAAUGUAUGGGAAACUGCCUGAUGGAGGGGGAUAAGUACUGGAAACGGUAGCUAAUAACGCAUACCAUCGGAUGUGCACAGAUGGGAUUAGCUAGUAGGUGGGGUAAAGGCUCACCAAGGCGACGAUCCCUAGCUGGUCUGAGAGGAUGACCCGCCACCCUGGAACUGAGACACGGUCCAGACUCCUACGGGAGGCAGCAGUGGGGAAUAUUGCACAAUGGGCGCAAGCCUGAUCCAGCCAUCCCGCGUGUAUGAUGAAGGCCUUCGGGUUGUAAAGUACUUUUGGCAGAGAAGCGUUAUCUGCACAAUAAGCACCGGCUAACUACGUGCCAGCAGCCGCGGUAAUUC